rnacentral:lncRNA from 1 species
UUUCAAUUCCUUGUUCCAUAGCUGAAAUAAUACCUAUAAAAAGCAAAAAUAGUACAUGAACUAUUAAUGGCUUAAUGGUAAGAACUAAGAAAUAAAGAAGCAAUUUCUUAUGGCAUCUACUACAUGCAUGUUAUAGAGCAUGCUUUUGAUAAGGCAUAAAACAAAAACUUGACAUCUCCAGAAUCUCAUUGAAUGUACAAAACAAAGAUAGACGGAUGAGAGACCAAUACCCAAACAAUAAUAUGCUGAAAACUUACGUUGAUGACUAAUGAAAGACGGAUAGAAGAAUGAAAAGUGAAGACUGAAUAGAGAUUGACGAUUUGAAGCUUAUAAUUAAAAACCUAAACAAGAUAUCUUAGAAGAAAGAGGAAGAGUGAAUGAGAGUUACACAAAGAAGGAAGUCGAAGGUGUGAAGUUUCGAAGAUGAAGGAGUUGAAAACUAUGCAUAGAACUCUGGAAUUUCAGUUGUAGAAAGAUUCAAUAAUUAAUGUUUGUUUUAAUACUUUAAUUCAUUAAUUGCACUUUUAGUUUUCCACCUUUUCCUGUUUAGGCCUUUUCAUGGUAUUGUAGUUCAACCGGUGGGAUAGACCCCAAUCUGGCGAAUAAAAAAUGUGAAGACAAUAAGAAGAUGAGUGAUCAAGAUUAGCCAAGUAAUCCAUGGCAUAAUUGACUUUGCGGUAAUAUGUGAACGAUGUCAAGUUCCUGAAAUUGCAUGACAAGUGAAGCAUGUUGAUGAUCCAUGGAAGAAGGAUUAGAUAAGAUAGCAAUGGAAGUUUUUUGAGUCUGACUAAGCGUGAAUACGUCGAAUGCAAAGAGACCAUGCCAAUUUGAGCCCUUCAACAACCCCUCUUAUCUCUGCGAGCGUAAUAGAACAACUCCCAAGAUUAAAAGUAAAAGCUUUGACAAAAGAGCCCCGAUCGGUACGAAUAAUUCCUCUCGUAGCUGCUCUACUAUACCCGGGACCGAGGAGAAUGGACCCGUCGGUGCUAAGAGUAUACCAACCGUCCUUACCCGGCCGCCACCCAAUCAAUUGGGACUACCAAGCUUGCCUCGAUGCUUCUUGACACAAUUGACCGGUCUUCCAUCUCAAUGUAACAAGGGCUACCCAAUAAUCACACCUUUGGGCCACAUCCUGCAGCGUAUCUAAAACUUGUUCGAAGAUACGUUUGUUUCUAGCUUGCCAAAGUAACCAAUUUCCAACUCCAAAGAUCAAGACAUGUUGCGCACUAUGAAUGUUGUUUGCCAACCACACAUCAUCAAUCUUUGUAGAAAAAUUUAAUUGUCAUUCCCGCAUAUUUGCACCUUGAAUUAAAUCUUUAGUUUUAUGUAAAUACAAUUACAAACCUUUAAUGGGAUCUCCUAAAUUUAGAAUCACCCCUCUAUUCAUAUAACUUUUCACUAUUUCCUUAACCUCUUCAACCUUCUGUUCCACCUAAUCUACCAUACAAAACGGCCCAAAGACAAUGGAUACGAACUUAGCUCCCUUCAGAACCUCAUGUACCUCACCGUUCUCGACCUUUUCCGUCACUCCUUUCAGAACGCCUUCAGACAUAAUUGGGCACUCUCCCAUGAUAUCCACCCUCUCCUUCUCGACCAACUGCUCACCAAAUUCUCAAUCAAACUCACCAUGUCUUCUUUCAUGAUUGAGUUAUCAAGAGCAGCUUGAAAAAGCAUAUAUGAAUGAUGAAUUUCGUAGUGAAUAGUAUGGAAUCACACAAAACUCAUAGCACAACUAUAUUUCACAUAAGACCUAUUUCUCUUACUUCUUUUUUGAAAUCAUGAAAUGAUUAUAUUUGAUAUUUAUUUUAGCAUGGAAUUAUUAUAAUUACAAAAUUCAUAUUAUAUCAUUUAAAGGGAGUAAUUCAUAGUCCAAAAGGAGUUGCUCCAGUGUCUAGUUACCCAAAGGUCCUGGGUUCGAAUCCAGUGUACUCCAAAACGGACACCUAUUUAUUUCUUGUCUUCUAUCUUAGAAAAAGAGGGAGUAAUUGAUAUGAGAGCAUUUAAUAGGAGGAGAGAAUAUUUUUAAAUUUUGAUUUAAGAAAUAAUUGAUGAUGUGAAAAUUUGAGAAAAGAGUAGAAGCUUAUGUGGCAAACUUAAAUUCAUGAAAUUGCUAUAAUAUACGUUAAGAAGAUAUAUGUUAUGAUAUAUUGAGAUUUAAUAUCGAAUGAAUUAUAGUGUAAGCUCGUUAACAUUGUUAAUGGAUAAAUUUCUUGACUAUACUUGAAAUCUUUUAGUGUGUAGUAGAGUUUAAGACAUCACGGUGUGUAUAUUGGUUGAACUCUUUUAGAAUUAUUGAGUAUGUUAGUCAGACCUAGGCUUGGCAAUGAGGCGGGUUUGGGGCGGGGGUAUCGAUAGCCAUCCCCAUCCCCGUUCCCAAAAAUUCAUCCCCAUCCCGAUUCGAAUCUCAGUAUUCAUACUCAUCCCCAAACCCGUGGAUUUUGAAUACCCAUAGAUAUCCCUAUCCCCGCAUAACUUAAUUAAAAUUUUAAGAAAUAAGACUACAACAUAAUCGUCAGGGUAAGUUCAAACGUGGAUUCGUGGAAUCGUGAUCGUUGAGAAUGGAGAGCCGCUCUGAAUUGGAAAUAAAAUUAGGGAAUUUAGGAUUAGUUUGAUAACUAUUAGAUAAGAGUUGUAUGGUAGUUUUACAUAUUGGGUAGGGUAUGGGUAUGGGUAUGGGGCGAGGGUACCUAAACCCAUCCCUGAACCGUCCCCGUUCAUUUUUAGCGGGUAUUCUACAUACCCGCCCCAUAACCCGUUUAGUACGGGUAUUCUCCGAUUCGAUCGAAUCAAAUAGGGUCGAAUACCCGUGGGUGGAUGUGGUUUUGUUAAACAUUAGUGGAAUGCACAGUCAACACAGGUAAAAAAAUUGGAUGAUCGAGAUUGAAUCUGGUACUUCCAAGCCCCAAGAUCCUCUAUUAUUGGAUGGAGAAAUUUUGAUGAGGAACUAGAAAGUGUUUCUCAGCCCUUCUGCCCAUUUCCGUUUACUUCCGGCGGAUCUUCGGUGGCUUCGCAAGUCAGAAUAAAAGCUAGCCAACUAUCUUCUUCUCCUGAAUAUGUUCCCAAAUGGAUGCCUCUUUAUUCUAAGACUUGUAGUUCUACAGAUAUAGAGCCCUACAAGGAAGUGCGUAGGAGUUAAAAUUUUGAACCAUGAUCGACUAAUGAUCUGAAUCUAAUCAAAUCGCUAGAGGUGAAAUUUGGUAGGUUUCUUCAUACUUGAUGAGCCACCCAUUGAUGAUGGAAGAGUUCCUAAAAUAUACCGUGGGAUCAAGUUAAUUUUGGAGCCUGGAUGAUACCCACAUCGUGAAGGUGACAGGACUCCAGAUAAAUCAUCAAAAUUGAACACAUCGUGAGCUGCCCAUAUCCGUUUGCGUUCGGCGGAUUUUUGGUGGCUUCCUAGUCGGAAUAAAAGUCAGAAGAUGAUGGUAAUUGAAAAUAGAAAAAAUCAUCAAACAAUGAGAUUGAGGCGGUUACCUUGGAAUAGUCAGCGCCUCCCUAUUAACAAAGAACAAGUUCGCCGCCGUGAAAUUCAACACUCGGGUGAACCCCCACUUCGGCGACCCCAACGACAGCCAAAUCGGCUUAGACAUUGUCAUCAUGAUUUCCGUCAAGAUAGCCGAUCCAUGAACCCAAGGGAUAGAUUUGAAGAGUGGGGAUCCAAUCAUCGCCUGGGUUGACUACGAAGUCGGAGACCUUAACAAUUCCACAGUUGUAGUAGCAUUUUUGCAAGUCUUCUGAGUGAAGUUGAUGUAUAAGAAGAGAGAGGUGGCAAGAGGGACGACAUAGGAGAGGGUUCUGAGGAGGAGGGGGAGGACGAUUGACAUGGCGGAUUAGUGACUGGAUAUUGAGAAUUUGAAUGGAAAGAUUCGGUUAUUGGAAAUUAAUAGGAAGUGAGGAAGAGGAAGAAGAAAAAGAGGGAUAAGGGUAAAUAUUUAAGAUGGGAUGUUAAUAAAACUUUAACUCUUUAGGUGCAAGUAUUGCUGACGUGGAUUCCAACGUGAACAAUGGAUUAUUUCUGUCUGUAAUGUCGUCUCUUCCUCAGUUAAGUUUGACAGUCAACGACGAAGUUAACCAAAUCCCGUUAACGGGAUUUGAAAUCUGGGUAAAAAAAUGUAUUAUGGAAAACAUGUGCGAGAUUGUGUGUCGGGCCUAAACAUUGGCAAUUUUUAGCUAAUUUAAUACUAAAAAUAAGAAGGACAAGUUAAAGACAAGGGAUGUGAAAUCUGAAUGGUGGGAUAAAGAAAAAACAGGAGCAAUAAGAAACCCGAAUCUGCCAAAUGUCAAUCCAUUUUAAUUGAAUUGCUAUAUAUAUAUAUAUAUAUUCUUUUAUAUGAAAUGAUGUAAAAUGAUACAGUGUCAUUCUUUUAUAUGAAAUGAUGUAAAAUGCUUCAGUGCCAUUUACACUAUAUUUUGUGCUUAAAAUUAAAUUUUUGAUGUUGUUGGUUUGUGAUUAAGGUUCAGGGUAUAGUGUAAGGGCUUAGAGUUUAAUUUGUCAUGUUUAAGAUCUAAUAAUUUUGAUACUGGUCAAUCAAAUUAACCAAUAAAAUUAACCAUUUACACUAAAUUAGUCAUACUAACCAAACCAAAUUAACCAAAUGAUACCGGUUAAAAUGAUUAACUUAAUAACCUAUCUGACAGCCCUAAAACAGUGCGUUAAUAAAGCAUCAACUGAACGGACAUCGGGUAUAGUUGACCACUAAUCGGGAAUUUGAGGAUGCGUGUCUAGCUUCCGAUCUAACCAAAGAGUUUUUUAGGAAGGGAACCUUUAUAUAUUAAAGCACCAGAACCGCAGGCAACCAACAGAUGAUAUUUGUUACAUGGGGAGGGGCACAGAAUUUGCUGGAUUAGUAUCCAAUCACUAGGGAGAGUUCCAUGAAGAGAUUCUUUUACGACCCAAUCCGCUCUCAUGUUCAUCUUCCGGGAGACGAAACAAACAUCAAUGUUAACAGCCAUGCUCAACAGGUUAUGAAUGUAAGCUAUCAUCGCCGCACAAUCCCUUGGCCAUGGAUCUGCUCUAUGAUUAUGUUAACCAACAAUUGGCGGUCUGAAAGAAUUUGAAAUGCCCAUCAUGUUGAGUCGCAUACUCGGCCGCUCUAAGCAACGCCACAGCUUCCGCUGCAGUUGGUGAAUUAACAUAAGCUGGCCCUGCUCUCCCAUCAUACACAAAACCAUGGAGAUCGAAAAUAGUGACUCCAGAAGCCGCCUCACGAGAAUCAUGACAAAAUGACCCGUUGCAAUGGAUCCUUUUCCGAGGAUAAGAAGACUGUGGUGAGGAAGGAGAAUGGUUCGAAGGAGCAGAGACCCAGAGAAAUUGUAACACCCACACUUCGUACAUGUUCGUUUUAAAAUAAAACAGCGAAUCAAUAAUAGGGUGCUACGCUACUUAUACCAUAUAUAUCAUUUAAUGUUUACACCCAUCCGAUUAAUUCCUUCAUCAUAAUCUAGGAUUGUGCUUAUAUGUACUCAAAUGAUUAAUUCGUCAACACAAAAACUGCUCAAGAUGUCAUAUAUGACUUAUUGACUUUUCACAAUACAAUACACUAUACCAGAAGUCCAACAGGACACAUAUACAUAUAGAACAGAAGUCUCGAGCUUCGCAGGCUCGGACCAGAGUAACCAUAUACUUGCCCUCAAGGCCACUAUAUUUUACAAAACCAUAUCUCACAUUGUACUAGUACACAACCACUCAUAACUUAUGCACAUGAUGGAAGUAAGAGUCUCAAACAAACUUUAAAUACAAAACGAGGAUCAAGACACAAUCUUUGAUAUCUACCUGGCGUCGUCACCAUGAUGACCGACCCCGGACCUCGAUGAUACCAUUUUGUAGUGUGUGAACUAGUACAACCUACUGUCGCUCUGAAAUGGAAAGUAAGGGUCAGUGCUAAUCACUAAGUGAGGAUCUCUGUCCUAGUCACUCUAAGGUACAAAUAAUCAUAUAGAAAGUAUACAACAUAUAAUACAUAAGGCUAAUUCUAUAAUCUAAUUUAUAUCCAUAUUUUAUUUGGGAUCCCGACUCACAUAUGCUGACGACCCACGUAGAGUUAGUGGCACUAAAAUGGCCCACGUAGAGUUAGUGUGGCGCUUACCAAAGCCCAGUUGUGGCGCUUACCAAGGCCCAUGGCGUAACAGAAGUGCAAUAAGCACAAUCGCCAGCAUACGUGCCCUAACUAGGUGAUCAAUCAAUUACCAGAUUUAUUCAAUAAUCAGUAAUAGCUACUGCUCAUAUUAACACAUAUAUUAAGUCAGAUAUAUCAGCAAAGUAACAUAACGUGUAUCAUAUAAGUAAUAAAUAUGGUAAAGAAGCAUAUAAAAUCUUAAGAUUAAACAGACAUUACCCUAUCAUGCAUAUAGCCUUAAUAAUAAUAAACUCAUAAUGGAACGUCUAACCCGGUCGGAUACGCAGGAGACCCUCACCAAAAAUAAUCCUUGAGAAAACCGGUAAUAACUUCCGAGUUAAGCUCGUGCGUAAUUCAAAGGACUUGAAUUAUGAACCAGGUAUAAGGCACUGGUUCUUCUAUAUUUCCUCUGUUUAAG